ACAACUACCUUAUACACUCCAAAUGAACAAUAGUUUAUUUCUUGAGAAGGUCGCCUGUCGAGCUCGCAAAACUUUGAUGAGAUGGAGACUGCUUCACUUGCUUUGGCAAUGUUAACAUAUGUUUCCCAUGCCAACAAAGCCCCUUAAAUUGACUGCCGAUGGCAAGUUAGCUAGCCGACGUUUGUGCGACAGGUGGGUGGGCAGGUGUUGAACGGUUUCCUGCAUCACCUCUUCCUAUGACGGGUUUGAUCGAACCUCGUAGCUAGCAAGCGAGGAAACAUUUUCAUAUAUCUUCUGCUAACGUUACCUUCCCUGCCACGGUCGGAUAAAUUAUCCAGCUAACACAACAUGGGAAUAUGCAUAUUUCACUAAUAUAACUAGCUAAUCGGGUUGCUAAAUUUAGCUCUUAGUAAGUCGUCUGUUGCUUUUCAUGAGAAAAAAUUGACAUGCAGCACGUGCUGGGCGUCCAAACAUACACAGGGAGCCAAUCAGGUUAGUUAUAAAUAAGGGCAACCAACAAGGAACGUUAGAUACCAUUAGCUAGCUAGCUGCCUUCAAUACUUGGUGGCUUUACUGACAGACAAGACAUAACUCAUAUUAAAAGCCACCAAGCAUCGACCUAAAGGCUAAGCUAGCUAUCAUAUUAAACAAGUGUGUGUGUGCCUGUACAACAAGGAUCCUUCAAAACUAUCCAGCCCCAGCUAACACGGCUUGACAUAUCACGUUUUGACCCUCACCCUCUCUGCCAUCAGUGUUAAGUUGGCUGGAGGAGGUGCAGAUGAAGAUAAAGGAGGGGGAGGCCACCACUACAGAGUCUGUACAGAGUUUCUGUUACACACAUUUGAUUUACAGUUACAAAGUAAUGCCCACCCACUUCAACUGAUAUGGUGAGCCUUGGUCUAACUAAAACCACGUGUACUGUUCUCCCAUUCUCAAGGCAAAACUCCUGUGUGAGACCAAGGCCAUUCCCAACCUGAUAUACAGUAUAGAGCCGUAUGAGAAAUACCUCAUCAACCUCUCCAAGAAAUCAAAGUUAUGUAUGGGAGUGCUUUGGGAUGGGAGAUUGUCUCAAAUUGAAUGUAAGUGUCUACUUGUAACCAAACAUAAAGCAAGAUGAGGACACACAAUAGAAGAUAGAGCCUUGUUGGACAUUUCAGUAAAAUAACAUCUCCCAAACUAAACAAACACUGAAUUAUUGUAACUACAAGAUAAAACGGGUGUCUGUGUGUUGCAUAGGUGAAUCUUAUUCAGUACAUGAAGCUGAGAGAUUUCCGCAUCAACUGGAGGCAGUGCUGCAGGAGCAGGACAAGUCAGCAUCAACCAUGACAGCUAUCCAAAACAUUGGUUUAGUCUCCUAUUCACUCAGCUCCAUCAUGACCUGUCACACCAAAUACCCAAUAGUCUGAGCUAAAGUAUCAGUGUCUGACACCACAUAUCCAAUUGCGUGUUGAAGAGGAUAAGUGCUGCUUUGGAUCUUUUCCUUCUUUAGACCACAGCCUCUCAGGAGCCAGAGCAGAGCCAGGAGCCCAAGAG